CUCCAGUGACAGGUUUGGUAGAUGCAGUUAGGGAGUACUGCAAAGAUAAGUAAAAUCUUGGUCCUGAUUUACCCAAAACUUAGACGAGGAAACCAUGGAGGGCACGACUAGUGGGACAACCUGGCCACUUCCGAGAAUCCUUUAACACAGCCUUUCCGUUCCUCUUCCCUUCUUAGUGAGGCGUCCCUCCAUCUGUGACAGCCAUCCCUAUGCCGGUUGACAUACCAUCUUAGCAUCCAUGGCCCUUGCGUUGGGAUUCCACAUGGCGAACUCAGAUGACUGAAGUGGGUCAGGUCCUUCUGGCACGUAGGUGGUAGCUUUGAAGGAUCAGGAGCUUCGAUGGCCCCGAGUAACAGGCGGUCCUUGCUGAGGCCAAUCCAGCUGCACCCUGGACAGUUCAGGAGCAGAGCACUCAGUGGCCUGCUGAAUGUCCACUUAGUUCAGAGGUACCGCUCCAGACGCGCUAGCCUGAAACAGGAGUCACGCGGACGUCAUCUCUGCUGAAUGUUCCCAUGGCAGUGACACCGAUUUUCACGACAUUCCGAGAGAACCCUGAAGUCGAGUCCUGCAGAUGGCUUGGGAUGUUUCUUGACAGCGAAAUACUACUCCAUGUGACAGAGUCUGUGGCGUUUGGAGGACCCCCGAGGUACGGCGCCUUCCGGAGAACAGCAUGUAGAUGCGAGGGGCAGGGAAACCUGAGAGCAGGGCAAGAAGACACAGCCACUCUGCCGCGGAGCACAACACAUGCAUUCAGAACCAUGCCUCAGAUCUGCAGGAAAUACUGACGGCCUUCUGGACUCAAGGCGAGUUUGAGAGGGGUGCAGAUUUUCCCCACAGAGACUCCCUCCCGUUCCAUUUCCAGCACCUGCCUGGCAGUCAGUUUGCCCGUCCUGGAGAUGAAGUCCCAGGCGCCCUGGCAUAGCCGGCCAACAGCCACGGUGUUCACUGUGGCCGUGGUCUUUUCUGUGAGCAGAGGGACUGGGCGAGGGAAAGGGAGAGAAGAGCCACAGGCACAGGCAGGUGGAUUUCAUGUCACUUCCCA
rnacentral:lncRNA from 1 species